rnacentral:rRNA from 2 species
AGACCCGAAACCCGGUGAUCUAGCCAUGGGCAGGUUGAAGGUUGGGUAACACUAACUGGAGGACCGAACCGACUAAUGUUGAAAAAUUAGCGGAUGACCUGUGGCUGGGGGUGAAAGGCCAAUCAAACCGGGAGAUAGCUGGUUCUCCCCGAAAGCUAUUUAGGUAGCGCCUCGUGAAUUCAUCUCCGGGGGUAGAGCACUGUUUCGGCUAGGGGGCCAUCCCGGCUUACCAACCCGAUGCAAACUGCGAAUACCGGAGAAUGUUAUCACGGGAGACACACGGCGGGUGCUAACGUCCGUCGUGAAGAGGGAAACAACCCAGACCGCCAGCUAAGGUCCCAAAGUCAUGGUUAAGUGGGAAACGAUGUGGGAAGGCCCAGACAGCCAGGAUGUUGGCUUAGAAGCAGCCAUCAUUUAAAGAAAGCGUAAUAGCUCACUGGUCGAGUCGGCCUGCGCGGAAGAUGUAACGGGGCUAAACCAUGCACCGAAGCUGCGGCAGCGAACGUAUCACUU